rnacentral:misc_RNA from 1 species
CAGCCAUCUUGGAACAAGGUGUUCUUGAACUUUUCAGAAAGCUCAGAGACCUUGGAGAGAAGGUAUUCACUGUCCUUGGCAUUUUCAACAACACUAGAACCAACAACGAUCAUGGGCUUCUUGGCUUCAGCAAGACGCUUGGCAAAAGGAUGAGAGCCAUCCAAGAUCUUUUCAAUGUCCUUGGAGCUUUCACCAAUGUGAG